rnacentral:rRNA from 1 species
UGAGUAACCUGCCCUUAACUCUGGGAUAAGCCUGGGAAACUGGGUAUAAUACCGGAUAUGACUCCUCAUCGCAUGGUGGGGAGUGGAAAGUCUUUUUUGUGGUUUUGGAUGGACUCGCGGCCUAUCAGCUUGUUGGUGAGGUAAUGGCUCACCAAGGCGACGACGGGUAACCNGCCUGAGAGGGUGACCGGCCACACUGGGACUGAGACACGGCCCAGACCUCCGUACGGGAGGCAG